GGCCAUGGCGGCAGCUACACAGUGCAGUCGAGCGGUAGCACAAGAGAGCUUGCUCUCUGGGUGACGAGCGGCGGACGGGUGAGUAAUGUCUGGGAAACUGCCUGAUGGAGGGGGAUAACUACUGGAAACGGUAGCUAAUACCGCAUAACGUCUUCGGACCAAAGUGGGGGACCUUCGGGCCUCACGCCAUCAGAUGUGCCCAGAUGGGAUUAGCUAGUAGGUGGGGUAAUGGCUCACCUAGGCGACGAUCCCUAGCUGGUCUGAGAGGAUGACCAGCCACACUGGAACUGAGACACGGUCCAGACUCCUACGGGAGGCAGCAGUGGGGAAUAUUGCACAAUGGGCGCAAGCCUGAUGCAGCCAUGCCGCGUGUGUGAAGAAGGCCUUCGGGUUGUAAAGCACUUUCAGCGAGGAGGAAGGGUUCAGUGUUAAUAGCACUGUGCAUUGACGUUACUCGCAGAAGAAGCACCGGCUAACUCCGUGCCAGCAGCCGCGGUAAUACGGAGGGUGCAAGCGUUAAUCGGAAUUACUGGGCGUAAAGCGCACGCAGGCGGUUUGUUAAGUCAGAUGUGAAAUCCCCGCGCUUAACGUGGGAACUGCAUUUGAAACUGGCAAGCUAGAGUCUUGUAGAGGGGGGUAGAAUUCCAGGUGUAGCGGUGAAAUGCGUAGAGAUCUGGAGGAAUACCGGUGGCGAAGGCGGCCCCCUGGACAAAGACUGACGCUCAGGUGCGAAAGCGUGGGGAGCAAACAGGAUUAGAUACCCCUGGUAGUCCACGCUGUAAACGAUGUCGACUUGGAGGUUGUGCCCUUUGAGGCGUGGCUUCCGGAGCUAACGCGUUAAGUCGACCGCCUGGGGAGUUACGGCCGCAAGGUUAAAACUCAAAUGAAUUGACGGGGGCCCCGCACAAGCCGUGGAGUCUGUGGUUUAAUUUCGAUGCAACGCGAAAACCCUUACUUACUCUUGACAUCUACAGAAUUCGCUAGAAGAUAAGAUUAGUGUCUUCGGUACUGUGAGAACAGUGCUGUCAUUGGCUGGUCGUCCAUUCCUGUCCUGCGAAAUGUUGGGUAAAGUCCCUGUCACUAGCGCAACCCCUUUACUCCCUUGUUG
rnacentral:rRNA from 1 species